AUGAAUGGACCCUGGGUGGUCAUUGGUGAUUUUAAUGAAAUCUUAUACUCCCAUGAGAAAGAAGGAGGUGCUCCAAGACCAACACAAAUGAUGCAAAACUUCAGAGAUACGCUGGUGGAUUGCCAGCUAGAUGACAUGGGAUAUAAGGGCGAAAUGUUUACAUGGCGGCGGAGGAGACUAAGAGAAAGAUUGGACAGAGGUGUUUGUAACGGAGCUUUCCAUGCACUAUUCCCAGAUGCAACUAUUCCCAGUGCAUGUCAAUCGGUGGAACCUGUCUCACGUAAGAGUACGUGUAAGGUCGGUCCGGGCCGCUUCAUCCCACAAUACCGUCGAAACAAGAUUGGACUAGUAACGGUAAGCAUAUUGAACAACAUCAACGCCCACAACUACUUUGUGUUCUACUCGUGCAAAGAAUCUACGCAAUAG
rnacentral:rRNA from 1 species